rnacentral:rRNA from 1 species
UACGGAGGGAGCUAGCGUUAUUCGGAAUUACUGGGCGUAAAGCGCACGUAGGCGGCUUUGUAAGUAAGAGGUGAAAGCCCAGAGCUCAACUCUGGAAUUGCCUUUUAGACUGCAUCGCUUGAAUCAUGGAGAGGUCAGUGGAAUUCCGAGUGUAGAGGUGAAAUUCGUAGAUAUUCGGAAGAACACCAGUGGCGAAGGCGGCUGACUGGACAUGUAUUGACGCGAGGCUGCGAAAGCGUGGGGAGCAAACAGG